rnacentral:tRNA from 1 species
GGCUUGUGGCUCAGUGGAAGAGCGCUCGCCUAGCACAUGCGAGGCCCUGGGUUCAAUUCUCAGCACCA